UACGAAGGGGGCUAGCGUUGCUCGGAAUGACUGGGCGUAAAGGACGCGUAGGCGGUUUGUACAGUCAGAUGUGAAAUUCCCGGGCUCAACCUGGGGGCUGCAUUUGAUACGUAUGGACUUGAGUUCGGAAGAGGGUCGUGGAAUUCCCAGUGUAGAGGUGAAAUUCGUAGAGAUCGGGAGGAACACCUGUGGCGAAGGCGGCCGGCUGGGGGUGCCCUGACGCUGAGGCGCGAAAUCGUGGGGAGCGAACCGG
rnacentral:rRNA from 1 species